rnacentral:rRNA from 1 species
UACAGAGGUCUCAAGCGUUGUUCGGAUUCAUUGGGCGUAAAGGGUGCGUAGGUGGCGGGGUAAGUCAGGUGUGAAAUCUCGAGGCUCAACCUCGAAACUGCACUUGAUACUGCCUUGCUCGAGUACUGGAGAGGAGAUUGGAAUUUACGGUGUAGCAGUGAAAUGCGUAGAUAUCGUAAGGAAGACCAGUGGCGAAGGCGAAUCUCUGGACAGUUACUGACACUGAGGCACGAAGGCCAGGGGGAGCAAACGGG